rnacentral:sRNA from 1 species
UCAAUUAAAGUCAUAAAUAAAAGAACCUCGCUUUAAAUUAUAGCAUUUGACAAGACCUCUUUUUUUGAUAUAAUUUAUUUAGGAACAAAAAGUUCCUAAAUGUCUUUUAAGUAAGACUUAAGUUAAUAAAAGGAAGUAGAAAUAAACAUGGCAAACGGAAAAGUGAAAUGGUUUAAUGAUCAAAAAGGAUUCGGUUUUAUUACACCUGAAGAUGGUGCAAAAGACCUUUUUGUUCACUAUCAAGACAUUCAAGGUGACGGCUUUAAAACCUUAGCAGAAGGUCAAGAAGUAAGUUACGAAGUUGUAGAAACCGAGAAAGGUCUUAAAGCAGUAAAGGUCACCAA